rnacentral:lncRNA from 1 species
UCUUUAUACAGCGAAAUGAUUUGAACACAAGGCUUUUUUUAAGAACUUGUCUGGGGGGGGGGCAUCUACAAAAAGGGACCAUACUAUACUGAGUGUGGAGAGAUGACAGAUGGUUGUUGGUGACAAAAAGUUUGGUGUGGUAUUGUAUGUAUUAGUAGGGGGGUCUGGGGAAAAUUGUUUUGUAUUUUUCCCCAGGACUGAAAUGUGAGCAUUUUCUGAAACAGAUUUUUGGAUAUACAGCGUUACAUUGUGCUUUGAUAGACCGAAUCUGAUCAGUUAAGUGUACUUGCAUGGUAUGUUUAUGUAAAUACCACAGCUAGGUCACUCGGGUAGGAAGCUUGUUAAACUUCAGUGUGGGCACCACUCCCACAAGGCACUACCAUGGUUGGCACAGAGCAGGGAAAUUUUGAAAAUUUUGAGUCUCUAGAUCAUUGGAAAUGGCAUUUUCAGAGUCUUCUUUUUUGCUAUUUGUGAUUAUAGAAAUCAGAACUCUAG